rnacentral:lncRNA from 1 species
UGAUCCAAAUUGAGUUGGGCUCAUGAUUGGAUCAACCUUGAUUAGAUCAGAGGAUAUGCCCUAAGUCGUGUUCGCACUAUGCGGAUUUUAAAGUCCACAUGGCAUCGUAGGAUGAAAAUGCAUUAAGUCGUAUUCACACCAUACGGACUCUAAAGUCUCCAUGGCGUUGUAGGAUGCAUGGCGCCCCAUCUAAUUCUCCUAAUGUGAUGAGGAGUUAGCCUAAUUAAGGGACAAGUCCUAAUGUGAUUAGGACUCAACCAUGGCGCCAUGAAAGAGGUCCAAGCCCAAUGUGAUUAGGCUCAAAUCUCUAGAUCCAAGGACGCAUGUCAUGCAUUGAUUUGAGGUGCCACCUAAGUGGAUUCUAAUCCACUUGAUCAUGCGCCAUAGACACUUGACAUUAAUCCAAAGGUGGGUGGCAAAGGUAAAAUUUAUCUCUUGUCAUGAUAAAUCCUAAGCCACCUAUUAUAAAUAAGGGGCAUGAGGCAUGUAAAGGUAUUGGAAACCUCUUCUUCUCCAUGCCUCCUCCCUCUCGCUCUCCUUCUCUUCUCCCAUGGGAGCAAGGAGGAAGUAUUCUUCCUCUUUCAAGGCGGCAUUGAAGCAUGAGAAGAGAACCAAGGAGAAGAGCCCACACACCAAGAAAAGAAGAGUUCUUUUCUUCCACGCC